CAGGCACUUACCCUCCGCGAAGCAGUAGUUAUAAAGUGGAACCGCAGAUAGGCUAAAAUCUCAGGUUAUUUAUCAGUUAACCUGCAAAGAAGUGUCUAACAGCGGCCGGACUGUUGAGUUGUCCCAACAGACCUAGGGCUGCAGGAGGAGCAGGAGGCCGAGGCUGCAACCCCCUGGGGGCAGGGCCCUGCCUUUGCACGUCCGGUUCAAUUCCAGGGGCUUGGUGUCGCACCAGGAUCUCAUCGCGAUCCGUGUGAAUCUCCUCUACCACAUAUUGCUGCCGCCACAAUGUGCUGCUCGGGAGCACAAACCCGAAACAACCAUGGAGUGAAUCCUCUGGAACUGGGAGCACAAACAACGGUGUCCUCCUCCAGUCACCUUUGCAGGCAAUUUGUCACAGUUUGAGAACAUAACUACCACAGCCCAUCACCGAAGUGAGUGGACCAUGAGACAGCUCGCUCUUCCUGGCGGUGGCCUUUGGCUCUGCGUUUCCUGAACACCUCUGCCAGUUAAGCUGGAACUUCUGACACCUUGUGCUUACUCCCAGCUUACUCCUUCAGGUGUCCACGUCCAGUGGGCAGCGCCUUCCCACACUCAGUAUGUUUCACUCUUAACUCUCUCAUCAUCCCAGCCUGCUCGGCGGACACUCUUAGUCCUCAACAACCCCAGAGAGUGGGCUUUCAGAGGUGGAAGUAUUUUUUGAAUCAACUUGUUAUUUAUUCGGCUCACUCCUGAUGUGAUGGAAUUAACAGCAAUCCAAGAGGUGGUCAAACUGGCCAGUAACUGAUCUUUCCACACAAUGGACAAUGCUCACUUUUCAGGGUGGGGAUGUGGGAAUAUCAAGUCCAGUGGAAACAUUUAAUCUGCUUAGACAGAUAUUAACCAUGAAACUAGAGAACUAUGUACCAUGCAACCUGGGCAGGACUUUACUGGAGCCCUUUCCUGACAUUUACCAGUAAGAAUUCUAGAAAGACCAACAUUGGCUAAAAACUACAUAAAUCGUAGAGUGAGACAAGGCUCUCCAAAUAGGGCUCAUACCUGUGCCCCUCAUUGUUUCAGUAAAUGAGACUUUUUCUGAAAAGAAGCUAGAAUUACACAUCAGGUAUAAUUUUUUUUCUGAGACAGAGUUUCUCUGUGUAGCCAUGGCUGUCCUGGAACUCACUCUGUAGACCAGGCUGGCCUUGAAGUCACAGAGAUCCUCCUGCCCCUGCCUCCCGUGUGCUGGGAUUAAAGGUGUGUGCUACCACCACCUGGCGGGUAUAAUUUUUUUAUAUUUUGUGGGGUUGGCAUUAAUGUAACUUCCCAAGUCUUUUAUAGUCUAUAUUAAAAUAAUUUUUGAAUAAUUUUAUUUGAAGGUCUCUUCUUAGAGGACCCUGCUCACUAGUUAAGCAUCACAGGGCCUGGUAUAGGUGGGGAAGAAUAGUGUUCCAAAGUCCCCAGGACCAGGCAGAACCAUGAGCUCAGGUCUUUAGGAUGUUCCUAUGGAGCACUGCAGCUCAUAGUUGUGAGAGCAGAAUCCUAUUGGAAAAUCCCAGCAAGUUUGCUUGACUCAAGAACAGGAAAGGAACAAAGCCAGAAAAGACCUAGAACAAGAGAUUAAAGGGAGAAAAAAUGAGGAGAUGCCCUUGCUGUUUCACUGGCCACUGGCAACAGGGAUGUGUUUACCUCAAAUCAUAGGAUUAGAAUGGACAGAGGAAUCUUGGGAAAUUUCUCUCACUAUUCUUUGCCUUCAUGCUCAGAUAAAACCUAAGGGCAUCCAAUUGAGACUUCUACAUAUUUCCUAAUUUUUGCUGUUGUUUUGCUAUGCAGUUCCAGUUGGCCUGGAACUCAUGAGCAACCCUCUUGCCUCUGUCUCCUACCUGGGCUUACAGAUGUGCACCCCAUAUGCUUGGCAUUCUCAUAUGCUUUUCUAAGAUUUGUUUUUAUUUUAUGUGUCUACAUUUACUACUUAUUUGCCUGUAAGUAUGUUUGUGCACCUCCUAGUGCCCAAGAAAGCCAGAAGAAGGCAUUGGAUUCUCUGGAACUGGAUAAUUCCAGAUAGUUAUAAUCCCCUGUAUGUGCUGGGAACUGAUCCUCUUCAAGGGCAACAAUUGAGCUAUCUUUCCAGCUCAUUGUCUAAUCCAUGCCCCCCGCCGCCCCACACUGUUCUACUCUACAGCUUUAUAUUUGAGCAUUUCCAAGUUUUUACAUUCAAUGCCAAAGAGAAUUACCUUUUUCCAGAAAGGUAAUUACACAUCAGGUAUCAUUUUUUUUUUCUGAGACAGAGUUUCUCUGUGUAGCCAUGGCUGUCCUGGAACUCACUAUUUCCAGAAAGACACUUCCAAUUGUCUCUGGGAAGUGGCUGCUCUGUGGUUAGCUAUGGCCAUGUGCCUGGGUUUUAGCUAGUGGAAUGUAAAGAAAACCCCUUCAGCCCAUAAGAACCUCCCAUGUACACUCUUCAGAUUCUUUGCUUUUUCUACUGCAGGGCAAAGAUUCGCCCUGGUGACUUGCAACCACCUGCUGCAAAUGGCAGUCUCUUUCAAACUUUGAAUUUUUUUUUUGUUUUUGUUAGUGUUUGUUGGGCAUCAAACCAAGGGACUUGGGCACUUUGGGCAAGGAGUCUCCCACUGAACUAUACCCCUAGUCUUGAAUCUGAAUGACUACAUGAAAGAGAGUUAACCCCAAUUAACCUGCUCUGUCACAUGAUCAAGAAGUAAACUCUAUUGUGUUUGAGGCGAUCUAUAUUUAGAGUCUAUGAUAACAAUUAGCCUAUCUUGACACCUAUCCCCUUUGACACAGUUGUUGUCAUUGUGUACAGCAGAAGCAUCUGUGCCCUGUGCCCUUUUCUUUAUUAUCCCCCAAACCAAAAGAAGUACAAUUAGAGACUUCAAAGUAGGGACUCAUCAGGGACAAAUGACGCUCACCAAAGUAUUUGUCCCAGCACUCAGAUCUUUCUGCCAGAGGAACAACAGGCUGGCCUAGCCUUACUUCAAGACAGCCUAAUCUGUAAAAUUAUAUUUAAAAAGUAAGACACAAGACCUACAAAACAUAUAUUAAAGUGUGAUAGUUAAUCUCAAAGGAAUUUGUGCUUCUCGAUAAAUGAUCAACUUCUGCACUGCCUUAAAGUAAGGAUCGCUGGACGUUGGUGGCACACGCCUUUAAUCCCAGCACUCAGGAGGCAGAGGCAGGCAGAUCUCUGUAAGUUCGAGGCCAGGCUGCUCUCCAGAGCCAGUGCCAGGAUAGGCUCCAAAGCUACACAGAGGAAACCCUGUCUCGAAAAACAAAAAACAACAACAAAAAAAGUAAGGGUCAUUUUCUAAAAUACACACAACCACAUUAGUGUAUGAAGAACAGCCUUAACGUGCUGAGGAAAAUGCACAGAAAAGAGAUGCUCACUCAGGAGGUGACUGGAGAAGCCAGAAGAACCGAGAUAUGGCUCUAUGCUUGCCUGCUCUGUGGUUCUCAUACACAUGCAAAAUGUUUUUCACAGAAACUGAAAUUUCUUGAGUAGAAACUUCCAGAAGUCAUAAAUGACAGGUUAUGCAAAGACCUAGGAGUUUUCAGAUGAAAUUAAAACAGAUGAACUAUGUUUCGCCUCUGCUUAACAUGCCAGUGGCAAUGUAAGUAGAAAUGAAAAACUGUAAACAGGACAGCAAAGAGAUAACGAAGGUGCUUCAGCCAGAGGAGGGAACAUGCUCUCAAGGCAGGCUGGCUGUAGACCCUUUCUUACCAGGAUUGCCAUUAAUUCCCCACCUUUUACCCCCUCCCGGGUCAAAUGUGAAAAUACUGUUUGAUUGACAGUAUAUGUUUGCCUAGAAUGGGGCUUAUUUUAGGUCUUAUCGCCCCAUAGAAGAUCCAGGAAGCAAACUGUCCAGAACCCCAAACAAAUACUUUGGCCUCCUUGAAACAGCUCAGUUGGGCCAAGAAAACAAGAAGCCUGAAUCCAGUAGGUCGUUCUCCCCAGGGUUUCGGCCUGAGUAGCUUUUGUUUAUACGUUAUUGCUUGGCCCCAUGGGGAAGAGAGAGCAGGGCCUUCUGGGGCUGUAUUUAGAGGGUGUCUUAAAGGCCCCACUACCCCCUCUGGGCCAGGGCCUGCCAGGCUUGGCUCUCAGGAGCAAGAUGGCGCCCACAGUGUUGGGCCUUGACUGAGGGACUGAGGGACUGAGGGGCUGAGGGGCUGAGGGGCUGAGGGGCUGAGGGGCCUUCACUUACUCGGAGGUGCUGGCUCCUCUGAAGCCCACACGCUGCCAACUCCCCGGGCUCAGGAGUCACCACUGCGUUCUUCCUCUGGAUUCCUCAACUCCUGGUUGAGAUCUGCGCCACAUAAUUUUCUCAUGGUGUCACUCAUUCUGAGUGCUUACAUUUGGAAAGUUGAUUCACAAGUAAAGCCUUCCUUAAGGCUUAAAAAAGGAGAAGAAAGAAGAAAAAUUAAGGUUGAUCGUGGGGAAAUGGAGUGAGCACAGCAGUGUCCUCUCCCGUUUUGAUAUUUGCUGCAGCUAUGAGAACCACUCCCUGGUCAGGUUCCUGGCUGCAAACCGAGGCCAGUGGCAGGGCGUGGGUGACGUCAGGGCCAGGCCUGAGUCAUAGCCAGCGGCCCGGCUGCCCUGCCACUCGGAAAGGGACAAAAGGAACCUUUGAUGUCCAGAGGCCCUCCUCUCUCGCAGGCUGGCUGCACUGAACAGCAGGCCAGAACAUUCCAGCUGUCUCCCCACCCCUCCCGCCCUCCCUCCUUCCGGAACAGUCCUAGACAGAUUCAACAAGGCCUCCCUGAAGGACAUCGCCCUCCUGUGCAGCCAAGGCAUGGUCACCCUCUGGAACCAAGAAGCAAGGAAAACAGGCCCCCACCCCCACCCUCUCACUUCCCCUCUGUCACAUGCCUGCAUCUGUGUGCUGCCCACCUUAGCACAGAGUUCUAAUGGUACUUAAAGAUGAGGAAAGAUGGGCUCACUGUCACCGUCCCUGGGGACAGCCUCCAGUGUUCAGAGUGUGUUUGCUUCUGCGCGAGCCGCUGUGGAGGCAGGCCUCAAUUCUCCUCUCUGUUCCUCCUGCGUCUAAGUGGCUUUCCUCUGGGAAUAGCCAUAUCCCAGAACCUGGCACGAAGCUCACUAAGUACACCAUGGAUGGAUGGAUGGAUGGAUGGAUGGAUGGAUGGAUGGAUGGAUGGAUGGAUGGUGAUGAAUGUUUAUUUACAUCUCUGUUAAGUAUUUUAUGGCAGUUAUUUCACUUAUUAUUGUGAUGAAGCUGUGGAGAAGGAAACUGACAGCUGAGGAAAUGAGUUCUCAGAGAAAUUAAGACACUUCUUUGAAGUCUCACAGCUCAUCAGUGGCAGAGCUUGAGCUGUCGUCAGACCUCAAAUUCUCUAUUAGCUUCCAUGUUGAGAGGCUGGGGUGAGUGAAGGAACACUGACUGAUGUACUUUCCAGGAGAGGAAAGACAAGAAUAAAGAUGGGUCUUGAAACCCAACCCUACAAGAACAUGGCAGAACAAUCAGGUACGUUCUAUCUAGGUGAGGUAGGCCUCCUGUCCUCUUGAUGAGCCAAUGCCACAAGCUGAGGUGUCUGUGACAAGCUACCAGUCUGUCCUGAGAAGCUGGAGCCAGAAAACAGAGGCAGGGAAGUCUGCUGGCCGAAGUUCUGGUGUGUGGUGGUAGAGCCCAGUGGGCAGAGCCCUGGACUCCAUGAGCAGAGGCAGACUUUGAGAGCCCUCCUACAGCAGCCUCCUGAGUAGCUGAGAUUACAGGUCUGUAUCACAGGUACAGCACAACAUUAAAAAAAAAAGAUUUAUUUUAUGUAUAUGAGUGCUCUCUUUGCAUGUA